rnacentral:lncRNA from 1 species
AAGAGACAGCACAUUUGGCCACUAAGUCGUGUCUGACUUGACUGUCCUUGGGUUUUCCAGGCAAGAAUACUGGAAUGGAUUACUAUUUCCUUCUCCAGGAGAUCUUCCUGAUGCCAGGCAUCUUUUCAACCCAGAUAUUGAACCUGUGGCUCCUGCCACGGCUCCAGCAUGGCAGGCCGGUUCUUUACCCCUGAGCCACCAGGGAGGCCCUAUCAGUGAAUUCUACCAGAGGUCGGGCCAAGGCCACACGAAUGUGGAUGUGACACAGUAGAAACACCCUCA